rnacentral:rRNA from 1 species
AUUGAACGCUGGCGGCAGGCCUAACACAUGCAAGUCGAACGAGUGGCGGACGGGUGAGUAAUGUCUGGGAAACUGCCUGAUGGAGGGGGAUAACUACUGGAAACGGUAGCUAAUACCGCAUACCAUCAGAUGUGCCCAGAUGGGAUUAGCUAGUUGGUGGGGUAACGGCUCACAAAGGCGACGAUCCCUAGCUGGUCUGAGAGGAUGACCAGCAGCACUGGGAGUUAGACACGGUCCAGGCGCCGACGGGAGGCAGCAGUGGGGAAUAGUGCAGAAGGGGCGAAAGCCGGAUGCAGCCAUGACGCGUGUAUGAAGAAGGCCUUCGGGUGGUAAAGUACUUUCAGCGGGGAGGCGUUACCCGCAGAAGAAGCACCGGCUAACUCCGUGCCAGCAGCCGCGGUAAUUC